AGCGAACGCUGGCGGCAGGCUUAACACAUGCAAGUCGAGCGGGCCCUUCGGGGUCAGCGGCAGACGGGUGAGUAACGCGUGGGAACGUGCCCUUCGGUUCGGAAUAACUCAGGGAAACUUGAGCUAAUACCGGAUACGCCCUUAUGGGGAAAGGCUUGCUGCCGAAGGAUCGGCCCGCGUCUGAUUAGCUAGUUGGUGAGGUUAUGGCUCACCAAAGCGACGAUCAGUAGCUGGCCUGAGAGGAUGAUCAGCCACACUGGGACUGAGACACGGCCCAGACUCCUACGGGAGGCAGCAGUGGGGAAUAUUGGACAAUGGGGGCAACCCUGAUCCAGCCAUGCCGCGUGAGUGAUGACGGCCUUAGGGUUGUAAAGCUCUUUUCUCCGGGACGAUAAUGACGGUACCGGAGGAAUAAGCCCCGGCUAACUUCGUG
rnacentral:rRNA from 1 species